CACUGGAACCUAAAUACCCUAAAGGCACUAGGUCCCAUUUGAUCUUGGAAGCUAAGCAGGAUCAGAUCUAGUUAGUAUUUAGAUGGGAGAUUGCCAAAAAUACUAGAUGCUGUAGGCU
rnacentral:rRNA from 1 species